rnacentral:rRNA from 1 species
AUUGAACGCUGGCGGCAGGCCUAACACAUGCAAGUCGAGCGGCAGCGGGGAAGUAGCUUGCUACUCUUGCCGGCGAGCGGCGGACGGGUGAGUAAUGCCUGGGAAAUUGCCCAGUCGAGGGGGAUAACAGUUGGAAACGACUGCUAAUACCGCAUAUGCCCUACGGGGGAAAGCAGGGGACCUUCGGGCCUUGCGCGAUUGGAUAUGCCCAGGUGGGAUUAGCUAGUUGGUGAGGUAAUGGCUCACCAAGGCGACGAUCCCUAGCUGGUCUGAGAGGAUGAUCAGCCACACUGGAACUGAGACACGGUCCAGACUCCUACGGGAGGCAGCAGUGGGGAAUAUUGGACAAUGGGCGCAAGCCUGAUCCAGCCAUGCCGCGUGUGUGAAGAAGGCCUUCGGGUUGUAAAGCACUUUCAGUAAGGAGGAAGCGUUGAGUGUUAAUAGUACUCAGCGUUGACGUUACUUACAGAAGAGGCACCGGCUAACUCUGUGCCAGCCGCCGCGGUAAAAC